GGUGCCCGGCCCGCUAGUUAUUACAUGAGCACCAAAUAACUUGUCCGCCCGCCCUCUCCGCCUCCUACGUCCUCUUCUUCACCAGCCCCACCACCAUCGAGUAUCUACUCCGAUAUCGAUCACGCAAUUGACCGGUGUGGCAGUGGAAGUUCGGCCCGGAGAGCGGCGAUUGUCGGCGCAGGUGGUAGAUUGGCUUCUUGAGGCGGUGGAGGUGUUUGAGAUUCAUUCAUCUUCGCUUCUCAGCCUCAACAACCAUCAAAGAAGAAGUUGAAGGAUGUUCCACUUCAGAACGAAGAAGGCUUUCGAGCAAUUGCCACCUGAGAUCAUCUAUCCCUUUCCUCGUACCAUCCUCCGUUAGUUUUCGAUUUUGAGAAUAUGGCAAUAAGUUAUUGGCAUUGAACAGAGAAGGAGACAAGAAUCUGGGCUUAGGCUUUGUCUCAUCAUUAUCAUCAUCUAAUAGUGACACUCAACAAGUGAAGAACCAUCUUUCUAUGACCAUGAGCAGCUGCAAAAAACAAAGGAGUUCGUUUAUCACAGGUCUGAGCAUUUGGCAGGUGCAGGUUCUUGUUCACUAACAGUUUGGCUGCCUCAAUGUUGCCAGUUCCUGCAGCCCUGUGAAGGGCUGUCCUUCAUCUGGUGUCACCUAGAGCUAGAUCUUCCGGUAGCAUAUGCUCCACUAGCUUUUUCACAAAGUUGUUUGUUCGAUUUGUUAGCUUAUCAAAGUGAGAGUGGCACUCUGGAUGAAGACGAAUUCUUUUGGGAGAUUCUAUUCAGUGAAUGAGUUUGUCUUUAGUCUUCAGCAGAUAAGGAGGAGCCUUGGUCCAGGAAAUUAAUCAGAUUUGGAGGACUGUUCAAAUUUCUUGUGGAUUUUGCCACUGCUGUGAUUUUGGCUCUGAUUGUGGCUACUUCGCCGAAGUGUUGAUCACUUUGUUUUGAGGUUGGUCCAGCGCCUAUGAAGCACCGACACUUCAAAACAAGUGCCGUAUCUGUGUUGGACACAUGGACACUUCGGGGACACGUAUUUGAUGUGUCCCUUUAUUUAAUUAAUUUAUUUUGAGGGGACACACCGAGAGCACACUAGGGACAUGCUAAGUUGUCUUUUUCCCCAUUUUCUUUAGUACUUUUGAUGAAUAUUGAAUGGUGAAUGUUUAUUAUUUUUUUCUUAGAUUUAAAUACUUAAUAGAUCAUUCAUUAGAAAAAGAUAUAAACUGUAAGUGUUAAUUUAAAAGUGUUUUUUUUUUAAAUAUAUAGAAUUAGAGUUAUAUUUGUUAA